AGGUUAGUCUGUUGUUGAAGAUGGGAGGGACAGAGAUGAUAACAGGUUAGUCUGUUGUUGAAGAUGGGAGGGACAGAGAUGAUAACAGGUUAGUCUGUUGUUGAAGAUGGGAGGGACAGAGAUGAUAACAGGUUAGUCUGUUGUUGAAGAUGGGAGGGACAGAGAUGAUAACAGGUUAGUCUGUUGUUGAAGAUGGGAGGGACAGAGAUGAUAACAGGUUAGUCUGUUGUUGAAGAUGGGAGGGACAGAGAUGAUAACAGGUUAGUCUGUUGUUGAAGAUGGGAGGGGACAGAGAUGAUAACAGGUUAGUCUGUUGUUGAAGAUGGGAGGGACAGAGAUGAUAACAGGUUAGUCUGUUGUUGAAGAUGGGAGGGACAGAGAUGAUAACAGGUUAGUCUGUUGUUGAAGAUGGGAGGGACAGAGAUGAUAACAGGUUAGUCUGUUGUUGAAGAUGGGAGGGACAGAGAUGAUAACAGGUUAGUCUGUUGUUGAAGAUGGGAGGGACAGAGAUGAUAACAGGUUAGUCUGUUGUUGAAGAUGGGAGGGACAGAGAUGAUAACAGGUUAGUCUGUUGUUGAAGAUGGGAGGGACAGAGAUGAUAACAGGUUAGUCUGUUGUUGAAGAUGGGAGGGACAGAGAUGAUAACAGGUUAGUCUGUUGUUGAAGAUGGGAGGGGACAGAGAUGAUAACAGGUUAGUCUGUUGUUGAAGAUGGGAGGGACAGAGAUGAUAACAGGUUAGUCUGUUGUUGAAGAUGGGAGGGGACAGAGAUGAUAACAGGUUAGUCUGUUGUUGAAG